CCCGGUGUUUAGUUGGAGAGAUGAAAUGAGAAGAAUCUGAUGUCACUCACCUCUUCGAUAUAAAUGGUGAGAUUACAUCUCUCAACAAAUAGAGUUAUUUGCAUUUGACAAGCCUAUAAUUUAAAUUUUUAGCAAUGUUUUCUUUCUAUUUUCAACAUAUGCAAAUAAAAAUAUAUGAUCAUGAGUACAUAUCAAAUAUUUACGAAAAAUAAUCACGAAAUG
rnacentral:lncRNA from 1 species